AGAAACCUUGCGAGCUGCAAUGGGGGGAAUUUUCUUGAGGUCUUAGUUUUAAGGGAUUGCAUGCAUCUCAAAGAGGUUUAUGGCUGAUCCAUCCAGGAAAUUUUAUCAUUUGACCAGUCAGAUUGGCAAAGCCCAUUUUAAACGUUUCUAAGAAGACAAACAUUGUUACACCUCCAACCACAAUUGUCUCUUCUCCAACAACUUGGUGCAGUGGUAGUCACAAUGGAGAAUAAAACUAUUGAGUGUUGACAUCAAUUAGGCAGCUAUGAAUGUGGGUAUUAUGUAAUGAAACACAUGCAUACCAUUAUUUGUACAAACAUUACUACGUCAUGG